rnacentral:lncRNA from 1 species
AUUUAAAUAAAAUAAUGUGAACCUUAAAAUCUCUCAGACUUGUGAAUAUUAAAAAUUUCCCCAUCGGGGAAUUCUUAAUUGGAACAAAUUCCCUACUGAGAAAGAAACAUUCCCCAUUUUGCUGUGAGAACUCACCAGGAUCAGAAAUGGGAGGACCUCUACUCCACCCAUGUACUUAAGACUGCUUUAGGGGAGAAAACUCAUUGCUAAACAAAGAAAGUACUUGGAUCCAUGCUUAUGGUGGGGCAAGGAGUUCUUUGAGCCAGGCCUGUUUUUAGAAUUGAUACAAUGAGAUGCUAAGUACCUAAAAGGGUCGGGCAAGUUUUGUCUUAAUGAGAUUAGUUGACUCAGCUGUGUUUUCACUGGUUCAGACUUACUGAGGACAUUUGUCAAUUUAGCAGGAAUUCAGAUGGGCAGUCCUUUGGAAAGCAUCUACAGUGAUUGGUAGAUGUAGGGACUUAGGGGAGGUGACAUGAGAGAAAAACCCCUAUAUAAGAAAAAGCAGAAUCUCUUGAGGAUAGAUAUCCUUUUGGAGAAAGCCCUUUGGAGGAUCUCUAAUGAGGACCACUUGGGAAGAAUAUCUUGAGAGAGGCCUUUUGGAACAGUCUCUGGCUGGAAGGCUCUCUGGUAAAGUCAGCUGAGAUGGAGCUGGCCUGAUGUCACUAGAAUCCUCGUUUAGUCAGACCUUGUGAUUCAAAUUGUAAGACACCAUGAGCUCAGAGAAAAAAAACAAACUGCUCGUGACCCAAGAGUCAACAGAAAAGAUUCAUGAUGUUCCUUCUCUGGAUUGUCCAAAAGGGUUUUCUUAUGGAUAUUCAGUCUUCAUAAUUUAAAAUACUAUUAUUAAAAUAAAUCACCAUUUUAGAAAUAAAAUCA